rnacentral:rRNA from 1 species
AACGAACGCUGGCGGCAUGCCUAAUACAUGCAAGUCGAACGAGACCUUCGGGUCUAGUGGCGCACGGGUGCGUAACGCGUGGGAAUCUGCCCUUGGGUUCGGAAUAACAGUUGGAAACGACUGCUAAUACCGGAUGAUGACGUAAGUCCAAAGAUUUAUCGCCCAGGGAUGAGCCCGCGUAGGAUUAGCUAGUUGGUGGGGUAAAGGCCUACCAAGGCGACGAUCCUUAGCUGGUCUGAGAGGAUGAUCAGCCACACUGGGACUGAGACACGGCCCAGACUCCUACGGGAGGCAGCAGUAGGGAAUAUUGGACAAUGGGCGCAAGCCUGAUCCGGCAAUGCCGCGUGAGUGAUGAAGGCCUUAGGGUUGUAAAGCUCUUUUACCCGAGAUGAUAGUGACAGUAUCGGGAGAAUAAGCCCCGGCUAACUCCGUGCCAGCCGCCGCCGUAAUAC